rnacentral:rRNA from 1 species
UGGGGAAUAUUGGACAAUGGACCAAGAGUCUGAUCCAGCAAUUCUGUGUGCACGAUGAAGUUUUUCGGAAUGUAAAGUGCUUUCAGUUGGGAAGAAAAAAAUGACGGUACCAACAGAAGAAGCCCCGGCUAACUUCGUGCCAGCAGCCGCGGUAAUACGAAGGGGGCUAGCGUUGUUCGGAUUUACUGGGCGUAAAGCGCACGUAGGCGGACUAUUAAGUCAGGGGUGAAAUCCCGGGGCUCAACCCCGGAACUGCCUUUGAUACUGGUAGUCUUGAGUUCGAGAGAGGUGAGUGGAAUUCCGAGUGUAGAGGUGAAAUUCGUAGAUAUUCGGAGGAACACCAGUGGCGAAGGCGGCUCACUGGCUCGAUACUGACGCUGAGGUGCGAAAGCGUGGGGAGCAAACAGG